GACGAACGCUGGCGGCGCGCUUAACACAUGCAAGUCGAGCGAAGCGGCGGACGGGUGUGUAACACGUGAGUAACCUGCCUUAGACAUUGGGAUAGCCUCGGGAAACCGGGAUUAAUACCAAAUGGUCUAAGAUGGACUCGCGUCCCAUUAGCGAGUUGGUGUGGUAACGGCCCACCAAGGCGACGAUGGGUAGCCGGACAGAGAGGGUGAACGGACACAUGGGAAGUGGGAAACGGGCCAAAAUCGACGGGAGGCAGCAGAGGGGAAUAUUGAACAAUGGAGGGAACGCUGAUGCAGCGAGGCAUCGUGAACGAAGAAGGCUGUGGAGUCGUAAAGUUCGUUUAUAUGGGAAGCGGUACCAUAAGAAAAAGCCCCGGCUAACUACGUGCCAGCAGCCGCGGUAAUAC
rnacentral:rRNA from 1 species